GCUGGCGGCAUGCUUAACACAUGCAAGUCGAACGGAAACGAUGGGAGCUUGCUCCCAGGCGUCGAGUGGCGAACGGGUGAGUAAUGCUUAGGAAUCUGCCCAAUAGUGGGGGACAACCCGGGGAAACCCGGGCUAAUACCGCAUACGCUCUACGGAGGAAAGCAGGGGAUCUUCGGACCUUGCGCUAUUGGAUGAGCCUAAGUCGGAUUAGCUUGUUGGUGGGGUAAAGGCCUACCAAGGCGACGAUCCGUAGCUGGUCUGAGAGGACGAUCAGCCACACUGGGACUGAGACACGGCCCAGACUCCUACGGGAGGCAGCAGUGGGGAAUAUUGGACAAUGGGCGCAAGCCUGAUCCAGCAAUGCCGCGUGUGUGAAGAAGGCCUGCGGGUUGUAAAGCACUUUCAGUAGGGAGGAAAUACUUAAGGUUAAUACCCUUA
rnacentral:rRNA from 1 species